AAGAAGAAGAAGAAGAAGAAGGCUUUUGGUGUGAGUAACUUGAAUCUAGAAUCAAUUCAGCUCAAAAUAUGGCAAAAUAUAAUUGAAUUUAUGAGAAGAAAAAAUGAUAGAUUUCUUCUAAAAUCGAAAAACUAGCUAAAAUACUUUCAGAUACAGAAAAUGAAAGAGAAAGAGAGAGUAGAUUUACUUCACCUAAGCAGACUGAUCUCUUGGUUCAUGACUCGUGAGAGCCCCGCAAUUGACACUAGUUUUCUUCUUUUUUUU
rnacentral:misc_RNA from 1 species